rnacentral:tRNA from 2 species
GGACAGGUGGCCGAGUGGUUAAAGGCAGCAGACUGUAAAUCUGCCGGCGCAAGCCUACGCUAGUUCGAAUCUAGCCCUGUCCACCA